CAUUUGUCUGAUCUGAAGGCGGAACGGUGAGGUAACGUGUUGAGAGAAAGCUUUUGCGUUUCUUGGUCGCUCAUGGAGUUUACAAAAGAACACAAUUGACAGCCAGCUCAACCAAAUGCCGGAGAACUGAAAGCCGUGCUCUCUAUUCCUCUUCACCUACGCAGAAGACGUUAUGCUUCGGAGUGCGGAUUAAUGGCUAUCAAUCAAGUCCACUACGUCCUCAUCACUGCAUGUUAACUCCGUCAUCAGCAGUUUGAUUGAGCAUAUAUAAACACCGUCUAAAAGCUGCAACCAAAUCUGAUUCGUCUUCCCAAAUCAGAGCUCCCGUAUAACAGACUCAAACAUUUAAAAGUUCGAGAUCGUCUAACAAAAUCUCCGCUUCAUCACGCUUUGACAAACCAGACCCAUGUACGAUUCUACUUCGUUGUUAAACAAUAACGUUUGAGCAGCAGCAGCACCCAAGUUGUAAAUGUCCCAAAAGGUACUAUAGCACUUAGUUCAC
rnacentral:lncRNA from 1 species